rnacentral:rRNA from 1 species
UACGGGGGGAGCAAGCGUUGUUCGGAUUUAUUGGGCGUAAAGCGCGCGUAGGCGGCCCGGUAAGUCCGCUCUGAAAGUCCAGGGCUCAACCCUGGAAAGCGGGUGGAUACUGCCGGGCUAGAAUCCGGAAGAGGCGAGUGGAAUUCCGGGUGUAGCGGUGGAAUGCGUAGAGAUCCGGAGGAAGACCGGUGGCGAAGGCGGUCUGCUGGGCAGUUUCUGACACUGAGGCGCGACAGCGUGGGGAGCAAACAGG